UGGGGAGUCGUCUAGUGGUAGGACAUGCGGCUCUGGACCGUAGUGCGGAGGUUCGAAUCCCCCCUCCCCAGCCA
rnacentral:tRNA from 1 species